UUUCAACGAAAACAACACAGCUUCACCGAGACUGUCACAGUGAGCGCUUGUAUUUUGCAUCUUUAAAACGACUUGAUGUCAGAAGAAGAUGACCUGGAUCUCCUGUUGCAGGAUGACCCAAACGAUCAUGCAUUCAGUAUAAGUACGUACAUGUAAGUUGAUGUAGCCACAUAGGCCAACUAAAAAGAAAAAAAAAAUGCGGUUUUGUCAUGUUAUGAAAAAUUCACGAUUAAUUAACCGCGAUUUGAUGCCAUAAUUUGUCGUUUCAUGAAAGGGACUAUUUAGAUUUUAUGAUAUCUAAACCAAGUGAAUAACACCCUGUCCGGGUCCAGCAUUAAUCAGUUUGAUUAACACCCCCCCCCUUUUUUCCCCCAGAAUUAUCUUACCUGACGCGCGAGUGUAAGAAUGGGGUGGAUUUAGUGUAUAAUGGGAUGGGGUGGUUUUAAUCAGACUGGGCAUUCAUGACCGCUGGUGAGAAGGCUAUUUUCCAAGUUUUUUCCAUGUUUAUAAAAGAAAUUAUCUUUCUAUGAAAAGAAAACACAAUCUGUUAGGAAAACACACUUUGCAUUAUUGUAAUGAUAAAAUUUAUUAUCAUAAUUUGAAUUAUUUUCUUUAUUCUGUAACAGAAAUAAAAACAAAAUGUAUGUUUGGGCCAAAAUGGGGGUGGGUUAACAUCAAUCAAAGUCUGAUUAUGACAGGCUAAUGAAAAAUCAUAUUGAUUUCUCUUUUAUCCAAAUGCAUGUAUUUUAUAUACACUUAGUAGCUUAUGACCAUAAAUUACAUGUGAUCCAUACAUGCUGGUACUGGUAUGCUAUGAGCUGAUGGGCACGUGUCCCAUUCUUGCCGGCCUCCUCUGUGGCCGAGUGGUUAGAGCAUUGCGCUCAAAAUCACACGGCCUCUCAUCUCUGUCGGCGCGGGUUCGAAUCCCUUUCGCGCCGGUAAGUGAGAAAGUUUUCCCAGUUUACUUUCGAAAGGUCGGUGGUCUCUCCCCAGGUAUCUGGGUUCUCUCUUCCACCAAUAAAAAAUCUGGGUGCCACCAGAUAACUGAAAAAUUGUUGAGUUUGGCAGAAAACAUCAAUCAAUCAAUCCCCUUCUUGCCUAGAUUUUCUCGAAUUUCGACUAGAUCCACACCCCAUCAGAGUACUAUGCAAGGGGAUUUAGACACUGUGUACCAUGAAGAACCAAUUCAAUUCUACUUUUAUAUCUGGGGUCAUAUACUUUCCCUCAGAGUUUCAGUACUUUCGCUGGACCCUGUAGGUUUUAACCUGAAUUUCUUCAGUAUUUCCCCUCGUGUAUAUGCUAGGCAUAAUGCAGACACCUACAUGAUACAUGUUUUUCCAUUACCCAUUCUGCUACUCUCGCAAUGUAUAAUAAAAUAUUCGAUUCAUUUCUAACACAUGUAUGCAAUCCCUUACCUUAUCUUUAAAUAAAUUUGAGUAAAUAAAUUUAAGUGCGAAACUGUUCCAUGCUACCGUGAAACUUAGAUUUUGCUUUUUAAACAUAAACCAACAAUUCUUAAUUGUAAUUUCUUUUCGUCUUUAAAAAGGGUAUUGACAUCCCAAUAUUUAGUGGGAAGUUCCCAGGUAUCAUCCGCUAGCGACAGUCUACUGGCAAAUCCAGACAUGCAUUGGAAGGAUGCUGAUGUGGAGGACACAGGGACACCUGAUCCAAGAACUGUGACAUUUCAUUCAGGGUGACAACCUGGCUUUCAGUUGAUAUGGGACCUUAUUAUUCGGAGAACUGCAGAUUUUAUGAAGCUGUCUUUGACAGAAGAUUUGGUUUUCUCCAUCUGUGUUGCCACCAACCAUUAUGCAGAGAUGGUCAUAUCUAGGGGGAAGGGUUGCCAUAUACUUUCCAAGGAAGUUUGCAGCCUCUCACUGAAGAGGAACUGUACAGAUUUUUGUGCAUUAUCUUAUACAUGCCUGCUGUGAAGUUCCAGUCGAUAAACAGAUAUUGGUCAACGCAUGCCCUGUCGGAACAACUGAUUAUCAAGAAUGAUGUCUAGAAAUAGGUUUCAAGAGGUUGAAUAUAAGAACAUUUUUGUUAAAUAUGAUGCAAGUACAUUUAAAUCUAGUGAUUGAAAGUAAGUACUUGAACAUUCGUAUAUGUUGAACUUGGAGAGGAAAAAUGGUUAGUACUUUUUGAUAACAUUUGAUAAGGUGUUGUUGUCUAGCAACCAAAUAUAAUUGAAUAAAUUAUUUUAGAUUAACAAUAACUGAAAAAUCUUUGUUUUAAUGUUGCAAUACUUAUUCUAUUUAAUGGAACAUAAUGGCAAAACGUCAUAUUAUUAGAAAAUGAUGGACAAGUAUAUAAAGUACGAAGUUUCCAUUUGAUGACCUUUGACCUUAAUUCUCUUCAUCAUAUUUUUUGUUAAAAACCUUUUAAAAUGAUUAAGAUCUAUUUAAAGAUUAUAUUUUUAAAAUAAUGUGACAUUUACUAAUCAUCAUGGAUUGUAAUUACGUUUAAAUUGUGUCGAAUGGAUGCAGAAAGGCACAUUAUGGUCAAAAUUGUACUAUGAGUGUUGUUACUUAGCAACCAAAAAUAUUUGUUUGUCAAUAAAAUUGAUUAGUUUGA